GACGAACGCUGGCGGCGUGCUUAACACAUGCAAGUCGAACGGAAAGGCCCUGCUUUUGUGGGGUGCUCGAGUGGCGAACGGGUGAGUAACACGUGAGUAACCUGCCCUUGACUUUGGGAUAACUUCAGGAAACUGGGGCUAAUACCGGAUAGGAGCUCCUGCUGCAUGGUGGGGGUUGGAAAGUUUCGGCGGUUGGGGAUGGACUCGCGGCUUCUCAGCUUGUUGGUGGGGUAGUGGCUUACCAAGGCUUUGACGGGUAGCCGGCCUGAGAGGGUGACCGGCCAUCUUGGGACGGAGCUACGGCCCGAACCCCUGGGGGGGGGAGAGGGGGGGAAUUUUUCAAAAUGGGCGGAAGCCGGGUGCAACAACGCCGGGUGGGGGAGGACGGCCUGCGGGUUGUAACCCGCUUUACCCUGGGACGAAGCGGGAGUGGCGGUAAUGGGUAAAGAAACACCGGCUAAUCACGU
rnacentral:rRNA from 1 species